GACGAACGCUGGCGGCGUGCUUAACACAUGCAAGUCGAACGGAAAGGCCCUGCUUUUGUGGGGUGCUCGAGUGGCGAACGGGUGAGUAACACGUGAGUAACCUGCCCUUGACUUUGGGAUAACUUCAGGAAACUGGGGCUAAUACCGGAUAGGAGCUCCUGCUGCAUGGUGGGGGUUGGAAAGUUUCGGCGGUUGGGGAUGGACUCGCGGCUUAUCAGCUUGUUGGUGGGGUAGUGGCUUACCAAGGCUUUGACGGGUAGCCGGCCUGAGAGGGUGACCGGCCACAUUGUGACUGAGAUACGGCCCAGACUCCUACGGGAGGCAGCAGUGGGGAAUAUUGCACAAUGGGCGGAAGCCUGAUGCAGCAACGCCGCGUGCGGGAUAACGGCCUUCGGGUUGUAAACCGCUUUCGCCUGUGACGAAGCGUGAGUGACGGUAAUGGGUAAAGAAGCACCGGCUAACUACGUG
rnacentral:rRNA from 1 species